rnacentral:misc_RNA from 1 species
GGAGAAAGGGGAAAGAUGACGCAGUUGAUUCUCCAAGUGGCCCAACGUACACCUACAACUCCAUCGAGUCUCAGAUUAGAGUAUUGGGUGAUUAUGCCUUCAUGUUGCGGGAUUAUGAACUUGCAUUAUCCAAUUAUCGCCUGAUUUCUACUGAUUACAAACUUGAUAAAGCUUGGAAACGCUAUGCUGGUGUCCAGGAGAUGAUGGGGCUUGCGUACUUUUUAC